rnacentral:lncRNA from 1 species
GCACAUUAUUAUGUGAUUCUUGAUGUCCAUUAUCAUUUUCAGGAAUGCUUUCCUCAAGAGUCUUGGAACCGUCUAAUUGGAACCCCACUAACUUAUCAACUGAAGGAACUUCUUUCUGAAUAGCUUCCUGAUCAAGAAUCGAGAGAAGGAAGAGGACAAAGUUAUUAAUGUCAGUUUUAAUUCAGUCCACUUCAAGUUACACUUUCAAACUGCAAGAAACAGGUGGUAAUCCAUGCCUACAUAUAUCAAACUGCAAAGCAGGAAAAGUUUGCUCAUCUUUAUCAACAUUCAUGUCCCGUCACGGUUCAUAAAAUAUCAAGUCGUGGUCAAACAGCUAAUUCAAAAAAUCAGUUAGAAAUGAUAAGAAGUACUAAAUUUUGGCAUGGGAUAAACAAUUUAUGUGUGGUUAAUGUAUGUCAAAUAUAUAUGAAAUCAUAAGUGCAUUAACUUUCUGGAUCUACACACGUCAAAUUCUUCGAAGUUACUGUAAUAUUUAGUUAAUUGAUAUAGCACAAGACAAUAAGACUUAAACUGAAAAAAGUUGGCCGAAUCUUGGUAUUAAAGAAAGCUUCUCACAAAAAGAUCUGAACAUUUAAUCAACAACACACCAAAAACAUCCAAAAAAGAGCUGACCAUCUAUAUAUUUCUUUAGGGGAUCAUCAUACAACCAUUAAAGGGAUAAGGUUGAACAGUUUGAUGACCUUACACUACCAGAGGUAAGCCUCUGCUGAAGAAUUCAAGUUACAGAUCUGCGCCUCACAUUUUGUGUUUUCUUAUACUUCUAAUCUUACCCUAAUCAAUUCACAUGAUAGCAGCUGGGUCACCGUUUAGAGAGAGAACUUACCCGUUCAACCAAAUCACACCUGGUUUCUCGAACCACCCUGGUCCAAGGGUUAGCAUAAUGACUUGGAUUGGGGAAUUUUAGAAAAUGUCCAUCUUUUAAUAGGCCAGUCUUUCAGGUUUUUCAUUAUAGGGCUUUCUUUACAGGUCAAAUGUCCAAUUUAACCUUAUUAAAAGAUCAUCAUCUGCUUCAUCUAUUUUUUAAAUCAUAAAGGCACAAUCAACUCAACCAGCUCGGCCCUAAUCUUUACCAAUAUUAUAAAAUCUGGACCGGCCCAGCCAACUCAACCAGAAAACUGGGAACCUGACCAAAAAGCCAGUCUGGUUAUACAAAUAAUAAAUUGUGUAGAUUAAGAUCAGUAGAAAACCCGUCAAACGUCCAUGUUGACUAGUUGGCUUUCUUUUCAUUUAAAUAGAAAAUUAUGUUAAGUCUUAAGAUUCGAGUUAAAACUGAUAACAAUGUUGCGCCAAACCAAAGGACAAAAAAGCCAAAAACACAUAGCACUACCCUUUUUCCAGUAGAUUCCUCUUUUAGAUUUGGCCUGUUUGUUGGAUUAUUUAAAUGCCAUGCUGCGUUUGUCUACAGCAAUAGUCCAUCAAGCAUACCUGUAUAAAUGCUGGUGGUCAUGCGCACAUAACCUCAUUCUUUGACGUAGUGCCUUAAGAAAACAUGUUUCCUAUUCAGUUUCCAGGUUUCAGAAAACUAAAUGUGUUGAUACACUAAAAUUUCUAUUUUACGUACUAUAAAUUCCUAGAGAAGUCUAAGGUAAUGAGAGUAAAGCAGUAGCCGAAAAAGAAUUUAAGU